AAUGGGGUUGAUUCAUGUAAAAAAAGAGAAAAUAAUAGGGUUCAUGAAACAUGGCAUCUAGAUCUGAUCAAGUUGGAAUGUGAAAAAUGGAAGGAAUGAAGAUCAUAACAAUGAAACAUAAUUCAACUAGAUUCAAAAAGGUAGGAAAAUGA